rnacentral:rRNA from 1 species
GCAUAAGCGUGCUUAACUGCGAGACCGACAAGUCGAGCAGGUGCGAAAGCAGGUCAUAGUGAUCCGGUGGUUCUGUAUGGAAGGGCCAUCGCUCAACGGAUAAAAGGUACUCUGGGGAUAACAGGCUGAUACCGCCCAAGAGUUCAUAUCGACGGCGGUGUUUGGCACCUCGAUGUCGGCUCAUCUCAUCCUGGGGCUGUAGCCGGUCCCAAGGGUAUGGCUGUUCGCCAUUUAAAGAGGUACGUGAGCUGGGUUUAAAACGUCGUGAGACAGUUUGGUCCCUAUCUGCCGUGGGCGUUGGAUAUUUGAAGGGGGCUGCUCCUAGUACGAGAGGACCGGAGUGGACGAACCUCUGGUGUACCGGUUGUCACGCCAGUGGCAUCGCCGGGUAGCUAUGUUCGGAAGAGAUAACCGCUGAAAGCAUCUAAGCGGGAAACUCGCCUUAAGAUGAGAUAUCCCUGGGGACUAGAUCCCCUUGAAGGGUCGUUCGAGACCAGGACGUUGAUAGGUCAGGUGUGUAAGCGCAGUAAUGCGUUCAGCUAACUGAUACUAAUUGCCCGUAAGGCUUGAUCCUAUAACA